UACGGGGGGGGCAAGCGUUGUUCGGAAUCACUGGGCGUAAAGCGCACGUAGGCGGAUCUUUAAGUCAGGGGUGAAAUCCCGAGGCUCAACCUCGGAACUGCCUUUGAUACUGGGGAUCUCGAGUCCGGGAGAGGUGAGUGGAACUGCGAGUGUAGAGGUGAAAUUCGUAGAUAUUCGCAAGAACACCAGUGGCGAAGGCGGCUCACUGGCCCGGAACUGACGCUGAGGUGCGAAAGCGUGGGGGAGCAACAGGGAUAAGAAACCCUUGUACGUCC
rnacentral:rRNA from 1 species